CCAGGCCUUAUGACUUCAUGAUGGAAUCUUCUCUCAGCAGGCAGAGGGGGAUUUGCCAGGGUAAAAAGGAGGCUGGGAGGAAGAAGCCUGCCGAGGGAGGCUUUGUCUUUUCAGCCAGAGUUUGACAAUUAGGCUUCAUCAUGUCACGAUGCGGUGCUACUGCUGACCCCAAAACACAACGCCGGAAGUGGUGCUCACUAGAGACUAUGUGUCAGAAGAACAGUGAUGCUGAAUCCGGAGCCCCAACCUCUCCUAGCCUCCUGGAGGAGGAUGACCCAGGACCCUUGUCCUCCCAACAGCAGGCCACCAGUUCAAGGGACAAGAAGCCCCUAAGCUCCCUCCACCUUUCACAUAGGGCCCAGGUGGCCUUGGAGUACCUGCCUUUCUUCUGCACCUAUGGGUUCCUCCUGGAAGAGGAGGGGUUGGUCCUGCAGCCCGAGACACCGCUCCAGGAGGACUCAGAACUGCUCAGUGGGUUCUUCCCUUACUACCGCUCUGAGGAGGAGAGUUUGCCCAGCCUGGCCCUUCCUGGCUGGUCACACAGGGGCUCCCGGGAUCUGCCCACUGAGAAGGAGGCACAGGCUGGCUGCUUCUGCAGGACAACAGUCAGGGACGAAUGCUCUGUGAGUUGAGGAGGCCAUAGAGGGUGGGGGGAGCAGCACUAGGCCCCCGCAUCCUUCAAACCUCUCUGUCCCGGGGCCCAGACUCUAACAGGCCCCUGGACAGGCCCCUCUCAGGGCUGCUGCGGCCCUUGGAGCAAGGUGUCACUGGUUGGGAGCACAGACACUGCAGGAAGACUGUCCUGUUCAAGCCCAGCUUGACCACCUGCUAGGAGAGUGGCCUGGGGAAUGUGGUUUCCUUAUAAAAGAGAGAACAGCAGCAGCAACAAUAGAGCCAUUGUGAGAAUUACAUACAACCACAUAUCUAAAGUGCUCAGCGGGAUGGUGAGCUCACGGAGACAUUUAUUUGGUCCUUAUGACUUGCUAGGCUCUCAGACAAAUGUUUCAUUAGCAUCAUCUCAUUUAAUCCUAAUAGUAAUCCUAUAAAACAAGCCGUACUAUUAUUCCCAUUUUAUGAAUGAGAAAAUGAGUCUCAGAGAAGUUAAGUGACUUGGCCAAGGGCACAUAGCUAGCAAGUAGCAAACCUGGGAUUUGACCCGAAGCUUGUGGUCUAUAACAUUCCUAAUCACCAUCAUGCAGCUGGGCACUGUGGCCCAUGACUGCAGAGACAGAGGAGGCAAGGCGGGUAGGUUUUAAUCCCAGACACCCCACCCAGCAGGGUGCCCUUGGAUGGGUGAGUGACAUUGCUGAGUGCUUCCUGGGCUGUAGAGCAGACAUGGGCCUGUCCUCUUCUGGGACUGCCACUGUGGUGUUGCAGGCACAGGCUGGUCCCGGGUAUCUGGGCCUGAACCUGGGAGGUGGGCUUGCAUCGGGCUGACCCUCCUGUUCCUUCGUACCCAGGCUGCCUCGGCACACUCGGACCUCAUCUCUGGGUCCCCACACUCACUGGCCUGCUGCCCUGUCCUGCAGGUCUCGGCAGAGUUCCCCCGUGACAGUGACCGGGAUGCCCCUCUCUCCAGGGACCAUGGUCUUUAUGCCUCAGGAUUUGUGCAUUACUACAGAACCCCUGAGGAGGGGUUACACACUAGCCCUGGGCCUCCUGCCUUUCCAUCUGGGAGCCAGGGGCCCUCAGGGGCUGCCCAGGGCUGGUGCAGUCACACCACGGGGAAGCCAGAGCUGACUGCAGCAGAAACCACUGGAGAGCAGGCUCCCAGCACCCACUGACUGUCGAGGGAUGAAGCCUGACCCAAGCUCAGACAGAGGAAGCAGGAGCCACCUGAACAACUGAAGGGUGCAGACACCCAGAAGCUGGUUUUGUAAAUAAAUCGUGCACCUUGGAGCUGGUGCACUAAUUGGA